GAUGAACGCUGGCGGCGUGCCUAAUACAUGCAAGUCGAACGAAACUUCUUUAUCACCGAGUGCUUGCACUCACCGAUAAAGAGUUGAGUGGCGAACGGGUGAGUAACACGUGGGCAACCUGCCCAAAAGAGGGGGAUAACACUUGGAAACAGGUGCUAAUACCGCAUAACCAUAGUUAUCGCAUGGUAACUAUGUAAAAGGUGGCUAUACUACCGCUUUUGGAUGGGCCCGCGGCGCAUUAGCUAGUUGGUAGGGUAAAGGCUUACCAAGGCAAUGAUGCGUAGCCGAAUUGAGAGGUUGAUCGGCCACAUUGGGACUGAGACACGGCCCAAACUCCUACGGGAGGCAGCAGUAGGGAAUCUUCCACAAUGGGCGAAAGCCUGAUGGAGCAACGCCGCGUGGGUGAAGAAGGUCUUCGGAUCGUAAAACCCUGUUGUUAGAGAAGAAAGUGCGUGAGAGUAACUGUUCACGUUUCGACGGUAUCUAACCGGAAAGCCACGGCUAACUACGUG
rnacentral:rRNA from 1 species